AAUUAUAAACGGCGAAUCUAACUACGCACUAGCUGCUUAAUUAAAUAGUAGCUCGUUCCUUCUCUGCUCUUGCCCAUUGGCAGGGUCUGGGGCGUCGCUAAAAUGGGAUCGGAGACUCAUUCGUCAACGGUGGGAAUCUUAAACUUAGUUGAAUAGUCGUUAUAAGAUCCAGUCCGGAGGAGCUGUAACGGUGAAUUUAAAGUUCGGAAUAAACAUGUAGACGCUGAUCGGCUUUGCGUUUCGGACGGGAGUUCGAUUCUCCCCGCCUCCACAU
rnacentral:tmRNA from 1 species